rnacentral:rRNA from 1 species
GCAUCGGCGUGGAAGGGCCAUCGCUCAACGGAUAAAAGCUACCCUGGGGAUAACAGGCUUAGCUCCCCCAAGAGUCCACAUCGACGGGGAGGUUUGGCACCUCGAUGUCGGCUCAUCACAUCCUGGGGCUGUAGUAGGUCCCAAGGGUUGGGCUGUUCGCCCAUUAAAGUGGUACGCGAGCUGGGUUCAGAACGUCGUGAGACAGUUCGGUCCCUAUCCGUCGCAGGCGUAGGAAAUUUGAGAAGACCUGUCCUUAGUA